rnacentral:rRNA from 1 species
UACGUAGGUGGCAAGCGUUGUUCGGAAUUAUUGGGCGUAAAGCGCAUGCAGGCGGAUCGUUAAGUUGGAGGUGAAAUCCCGAGGCUCAACCUCGGAACUGCCUUCAAUACUGGCAAUCUUGAGUCCGGGAGAGGUGAGUGGAACUCCGAGUGUAGAGGUGAAAUUCGUAGAUAUUCGGAAGAACACCAGUGGCGAAGGCGGCUCACUGGCCCGGUACUGACGCUGAGAUGCGAAAGCGUGGGGAGCAAACAGG